CCCUUAGAUGUUCUGGGCCGCACGCGCGCUACACUGAUGAACGCAACGAGCUCCUCCCUUAUUCGAAAGAAUUGGGUAAACUUGUGAAAGUUCAUCGUGAUGGGGAUAGAUUAUUGCAAUUAUUAAUCUUCAACGAGGAAUUCCUAGUAAGCGUGAGUCAUCAGCUCACGUUGAUUACGUCCCUGCCCUUUGUACACACCGCCCGUCGCUCCUACCGAUUGAAUGGUCCGGUGAAAUCUUCGGAUUGCUGACCAUGGCAUUUAUUUGUCUUGGUUGCGAGAAGUUGAUUAAACCUUAUCAUUUAGAGGAAGGAGAAGUCGUAACA
rnacentral:rRNA from 1 species